UACGAAGGGGGCGAGCGUUGUUCGGAUUUACUGGGCGUAAAGGGCGCGUAGGCGGCCUUGUCAGUCAGGCGUGAAAGCCCCGGGCUCAACCUGGGAACGGCGCUUGGGACGGCGAGGCUGGAGUUCGGGAGAGGAGAGUGGAAUUCCCAGUGUAGAGGUGAAAUUCGUAGAUAUUGGGAAGAACACCGGUGGCGAAGGCGGCUCUCUGGACCGACACUGACGCUGAGGCGCGAAAGCGUGGGGAUCAAACAGG
rnacentral:rRNA from 1 species